CGGGAAAACCUUCGGGUUUUCUAGUGGCGAACGGGUGAGUAACGCGUAGACAACCUACCUUCCAGAUGGGGACAACGUUCCGAAAGGAGCGCUAAUACCGAAUGAAGUGGCGAAGCCGCAUGGCAUUGCUACGAAAGGCGGCCUCUUAACAAUGCUGCCGCUGGGAGAGGGGUCUGCGUCUGAUUAGCUGGUUGGUGGGGUAAAAGCCUACCAAGGCGACGAUCAGUAGCCGGUCUGAGAGGAUGAACGGCCACACUGGGACUGAGACACGGCCCAGACUCCUACGGGAGGCAGCAGUGGGGAAUCUUCCGCAAUGGACGAAAGUCUGACGGAGCAACGCCGCGUGAGUGAAGAAGGCCUUCGGGUUGUAAAGCUCUGUUUUUAGGGACGAACGAUACUUAUGUGAAAAAUAUAAGUAAGUGACGGUACCUGAAGAGGAAGCCACGGCUAACUACGUGCCAGCAGCCGCGGUAAUACGUAGGUGGCGAGCGUUGUCCGGAAUUAUUGGGCGUAAAGGGCGCGUAGGCGGGAUAAUAAGUCUGUAGUGAAACUGCGGGGCUCAACUCCGUAUUGCAAUGGAAACUGUUAUUCUUGAGUGCAGGAGAGGAAAGUGGAAUUCCCAGUGUAGCGGUGAAAUGCGUAGAUAUUGGGAGGAACACCAGUGGCGAAGGCGACUUUCUGGACUGUGUCUGACGCUGAGGCGCGAAAGCUAGGGUAGCGAACGGGAUUAGAUACCCCGGUAGUCCUAGCCGUAAACGAUGGGUACUAGGUGGUGGGAGGUAUCGACCCCUUCCGUGCCGGAGUUAACGCAAUAAGUACCCCGCCUGGGGAGUACGGCCGCAAGGUUAAAACUCAAAGGAAUUGACGGGGGCCGCACAAGCAGCGGAGCAUGUGGUUUAAUUCGAAGCAACGCGGAAGAACCUUACCUAGACUUGACAUCUCCCGAAUUA
rnacentral:rRNA from 1 species